rnacentral:rRNA from 1 species
UACAGAGGUCUCAAGCGUUGUUCGGAUUCAUUGGGCGUAAAGGGUGCGUAGGCGGCGCGGUAAGUCGGGUGUGAAAUCUCGGAGCUUAACUCCGAAACUGCAUUCGAUACUGCCGUGCUUGAGGACUGGAGAGGAGACUGGAAUUUACGGUGUAGCGGUGAAAUGCGUAGAUAUCAGGAGGAACACCGGUGGCGAAGGCGGCUAUCUGGACAGAGUCUGACGCUGAGGCGCGAAAGCUAGGGGAGCAAACAGG